GAUGAACGCUGGCGGCGUGCCUAAUACAUGCAAGUCGAGCGAACGGACGAGAAGCUUGCUUCACUGAAGUUACCGGCGGACGGGUGAGUAACACGUGGAUAACCUACCUCUAAGAGUGGAGUAACGGCAGGUAAGUGUAACUACGACUGGAUACUAUUUUGAACGUGAUGGUUCAAAAGUUAAUUACGUGUUGGCUGUGACUUCUAGCUGUAUGCGCGGUGCAUGGGCUAGUUGGUACGGUAACGGCUUACCAUGGCAGCGAUGCAUAGCCGACCUGAGAGGGGGAUCGGGCCCACUGGAACUGAGACACGGUCCAGACUCCUACGGGAGGCAGAAGUAGGGAAUGUUGCGCAAUGGGCGAAAGCCUGACGGAGCGACGCCGCGUGAGUGAUGAAGGUCUUCGGAUCGUAAAACUGUGUUAUUAGGGAAGACCAUAUGUGUAAGUGACUGUGCACAUCUUGACGGUACCUAAAUAGAAAGCCACGGCUAACUACGUG
rnacentral:rRNA from 1 species